GGCUCUUUUCUCUGUAUAGCAACUGUAAUUGCGGGCUUAUGUCGUCGUGUGUUCUCAUUGUAGUUCGUUUAUGUAAAGGCGAAAGUUAGUAGUAGGUGAUUCACUUUAUGUGCUAGUUCGUGUACAAGUGUACGACGUAUUGCUACUGUUACGUUUAUAGUCAAAGGACCAUUUUACGCUAAUAGCAGUGCUAUUGCUGGAUCGUUAAGCACAACCGUCCGUAUACAAUGUCGUCGUCUGCGGCACUCAAGCCUUGUGCACCGGCGGGCGUCCAGAGGGUGCCCUCACGCCCAGGCACCCCCACCAGUUUACGGCGCCGACCAAUGUACGCCUCAGAAAGGUCUGUCAUAUCCAUACAAUCGAAAAACCCCAGCAAGCCUCCGCAAUUUUUUUUCGUCAACCCAAUGAAUGUGGCCAAUAUCACUGGUAGGGGAAUCGGAACCGCAGUAUCACAAGGUGUUCAAUUUGCGAAGAAAAUCAAAGAGUUUUCGGAAAAAUGGUUUUCGCAUUUGAUGCUACUGCUUGUUCUCCUGGCCUAUUGCUUCAUUGGAGCUGCAAUGUUUCGUUGGAUUGAGGCACCCAAUGAGGAACAGUCUAUUAAGCAAAUGGUAUUUCUUAAUGAAACGCGAACCGCCGUUCUCGAUACGCUUCAAAGCAAUUUGAGAAAUCAUACUGUGGAAGACUGGAAGAGUCUUGCUAGCCAGACACUCCUAAGCCACGAAAAGGUGGUCCUCGACCUGGAUAACAUGGACUUCGUUUCAAAUUAUUCAACUCAAUGGACCUUUCCUGGUUCCCUAUUCUACUGCAUGACAAUUGUGACGACGCUCGGUUACGGAAAUAUAAGUCCGUCAACAACGACGGGCAAGAUUGCCACAAUUUUUUACGGAAUUGUCGGCAUACCAUUAUUGCUCAUGGUGCUGGCAGAUCUUGGCAAGCUAUUUACCCGCUGGAUUAAGUGGUUUUUCUUCCUUACUAAGCACUUUUAUCGGACUGGGACGUGUACGAGAAAAGACCGCAAAAGAAAUGGUCCCGUUCAGUAUGUUGCCUUCGUCUGGCAGAAGGUAAACGAUAAAAUGACAUACGUUCCGUAUCCAGCCUAUAUGAAACCAAAAGCGAAACAGGCGGAUGGCGGUGAGGAUGGGAUAAAUACCGAUGUCGAGUCUCGUAAAGCUGACACAGAGGCCGGCCAAUCUGAGAUUGGCGAAGAUUUUGCGGCCGAGGUUGACGAUGAAUUCAACCUUCCCGUAUCGAUCGCUCUUAUGAUUUUGUCCCUCUACAUGACAGCUGGUGCCAUCUUGUUCACUGUCUGGGAACCUUGGGACUUCACCGAUUCUUUCUACUUCGUUUUCAUCUCAAUGUCCACUGUCGGCUUUGGUGACUUGGUUCCGGAACAUCCAAUCUUCAUGAUGGCUACUUUUAUCUAUCUGUUGUUCGGCCUCGCGCUUACGUCAAUGUGUAUUAACGUUGUACAGGAAAAGCUAUCCGUUAUCUUCCAGAAAGCUAAAAUGCAACUGGGAACGACAAUCGGCUUUGACCCAUCGAUGCUGGCAGAAGAAAUAAUUGAAGAGGAUAUCGAUGAAGAGGACGACGCUCUCUUUCCUGGUGAUUCCAAUAAUAAGGAGACAGGGGCCGCUAUAGUCACUCCUUCAGCUACUAAGACAAGCACAAAACAGGAAGACCGGAAAAAAUCAAUUUCAGGAAAUCGACGAGGCUCGAAGACUCCGAAAAAGCCCAAGAUCAACAUCGAUGAACUGAUCAAAAGCGGUAAGGGUGUUGACGCUACGAAGAAUAUGCAAGAGAGGCUCUAAGGACGGCGAUAGCUUUAGGCCCUGCAUGUGGCAGACCUUCAGGGCGUAGAGCUUUUUAGCAGCAAAUGACAUAGGCGCAGAUGAGAAAACAGCCAAGAACAACAUCCCGUUACUUGCUCAACCGGAAUGGACUACCUGUCCACAACUGCCGCAACCAGCUGUGAAGUGCAUCUUCAAUGAAGACGCGUGGCAGUACGUGACCUAAUGGCUUUUCCGCGAACACUUGACUUGGACUAGAAAAACCCAGCCCGGUUCCGGAUGGCGAAUGUCAAUCAUUCAUACGUUAUCUUCAGCGUUCCGUGCACCACACUGUCUGUCUGCAGCUGCUAACAUGAACUAACCAACGACUCACGAAACAGCCGAUGGAAUGGCUGAUAGUCCAACUAGAUCCAAACAAAAGCGCCGAAGCUUUUAAAUUUAGCGCCAAAUCUGGUACCGGUGAUCGGUCCAAGCUCUCAUGGUCGUGCACAGCCGUUUAGCGCUGUUCGAGCGCUCGACUCUAUCAGUAAUGGUAUCGACAAAUAAACCUAUAAGCGUGGCCAGAAGGACCAAGCAAGCGGUGAAAAUCAACCUGCCGAUACUGCAGGCCCGUAAGCCCAUCAUUUGUGUACAUCUAUAGUUAUCCAUUGAUGCUCAGCUUUCCAGAGAAUUAGCCGAAAUCGGUGUCGCUUAGAAACGCCAGCAACUGCUGUAUGUUUGACCCAAGGACAUUAUUGCAUAAUGAAGCAAAAGCAUUCGAGUGUUCACAAUAGCAGAUGUUUUCGGCUUGCUCUCUUCGCGUCGAUUUAAUUUGGAUUAUGUCAUUUCCAUUACUCAGUUGCCACAUUUUAGGGAUAUUCACGAUUCAAUAGUGUACCAGGGUCAAUGAACAGUACCACAGUUGAUGCUUAAGGCUGUGCACAAUAACGAUCGAUCGGCCUUGCCAGAAUAGCUAGACACCCACGGCUAUAGGCUACGCUAGGACACGAAGCAGCAGCAACACCGCAUAUUGAAGAUGCACUUCGUAGCAGAUUUUAGAUUGUUUUCAAAUGAUCUGUAUUGUACUAGAUACAUUUAUAAUGAUUCAGAAUAUAUCUGAAGUGAAAAUGCCGUUGGAGGGCAAGGCGGAAGCUGAGGCUCAAUUUUUCAACGAAGUUCAUGAUCAACGGUUGUAACAAGAUCAUUGUUGUUUUUUCAUCAGUAUCGCCAUUUUCCCAAUUUAAAAUCGCCGGUGCCUAGAUGUGAUGAUUGCUUCGAAGCAUUGGCUAUACUUGAGAAAACUUUAAUAUUAAGGUAGAUCGUUUUCGCGCAAAUCAUAGUUAACUUAUUAGGGUUCUGUUAGGUUACAAUUUUGUUAGAAUUAGUGCUAGACACAUCAGACUCCUUUGAUCGCAAAAACUAUGCUUUGUACGGAGACAAAUGAAAGUAUCGUCCCUCACAGACCUGAAUUGAACGCUUUAUAUUCUGUAUCGUCCGUUUUUCUUUUUUUUUUUUAUUAUUUACAACUUUAUGAGCAUGAUAAAUAUGUUCGGUUAUAAUGGGUCGUUCGAAACUGUAAUAUAUAUUUUACGACAUUAGCGCGUGUAACCCCAAUUUGGAUCCUCUGAAUUAUUUGUCUCUGAGCCAAAUUUUGUAGAUAAUUAAUAUCGAAAUAAUGUAAUUACAAUAGAAAACACGAGACAAAAACAUCGCUCUCAUUCCAACCUGUAACGGUCCUCAGUGUCGCUUAACGUAUAUACCACGCCAACAAGGAACGGAUGGUAACAGGUAAUAACAGAAUGAAAAAUACUUAUAUGAUGAAAUUGUACAGUUUAUUUUACAAAUUAUUUCAUUUAGCUAUAGAUACGCUAAUAUUGCCUGGUAGUAACACUUUUCCAUUCCGCCAUUGGCGUUCAUGUAAAUAAACGGCGCUGGUUGGAACAGUACGGCUUUGUUGGAGUCCGCUUUUGUCAGGUGCGCACCUGUCCUAGAGUGGUCCUUUUUGUAUUCAAUUCUCAUUUAUCUUUCUACACUCGGCGCUAGAGUAAUAUCUCGUUUCUGCUUGGACGAUGUCAACCUCAAAUGUCAAAUAACGGUAAUAGCUUAUCUGGCUGACGUUGGCCGUUUCAAUUUCGUUGGUACAAGUCCCACUGCAUCACUAUCUAGAGUCUUUCGAUUACGUGAGCCAUGUACGUGCAUGCUUAAAUGGAGAAAAAACAACGAACGUUGAAUGUUAAUGAUGCUAAUGUAUAUUCUUUGGUCGAACUGCAAAAUAAACAUAUCAACAGUAGCGUGAGAAUUUUUUUGAUAGACAAACAGCAUUGCCAUAGUUUCUAGUAUAAUACAAAAGACUCAAGAGAAUUCUUCAAAGAGCUUAUCUCUGACGUAAAUCCGUAAUAUCUGCAACGGAUCCGAUUUUCACUGAACAUAUUUUUGUGCAACUUGGUAAACCAUGCCUGUAAAUCUAUUCUGCUUGCUGAUAAUAAAAUCAAAAGCU